GAUGAAGAACGCAGCGAAAUGCGAUAAGUAAUGUGAAUUGCAGAAUUCAGUGAAUCAUCGAAUCUUUGAACGCAUCUUGCGCUCCUUGGUAUUCCGAGGAGCAUGCCUGUUUGAGUGUCAUUAAUAUAUCAACCUUCUCUUUUUUGAGUUGUUUGGAUGUGGGGGUUUGCUGGCCUCUUAAAUGAUUCAGCUCCCCUGAAAUGCAUUAGCAGAACAACCUGUUCAUUAGCGUGAUAAUUAUCUAUGCUAUUGAAUGUGAGGGCAGUUCAGCUUUCUAACCGUCCUUGGACAAUUCAUCAUUAAUGUGACCUCAAAUCAGGUAGGACUACCCGCUGAACUUAAGCAUAUCAAUAAGCGGAGGA
rnacentral:misc_RNA from 1 species